rnacentral:rRNA from 1 species
AUUGAACGCUGGCGGCAUGCCUUACACAUGCAAGUCGAACGAAAACAGGUGGUCGGAUGCUGCCGUGUGUCGUACGGGCGAGUAAUACAGCGGAACGUACCCGAUCGUGGGGUAUAACGAGGCGAAAGCUUUGCUAAGACCGCAUACGAUCUACGGGUGAAAGCGGGGGAACUUCGGACGUCGCGCGGGCGGACCGGCCGUUGGCAGAUUAGGUAGUUGGUGGGAUAACAGCUGACCAAGCCGACGAUCUGUAGCUGGUCUGAGAGGAUGAUCAGCCACACUGGGACUGAGACACGGCCCAGACUCCUACGGGAGGCAGCAGUGGGGAAUUUUGGACAAUGGGCGAAAGCCUGAUCCAGCCAUGCCGCGUGCAGGAUGAAGGCUUUUGGGUUGUAAACUGCGUUUGUACGGAACGAAAAGCCUCUUUCUAAUAGAGAGGGGUAAUGACGGUACCGGAAGAAUAAGCACCGGCUAACUACGUG